rnacentral:rRNA from 1 species
AGCUCCAAUAGCGUAUGUAAAUGUUGUUGCAGUUAAAAAGCUCGUAGUUGGAUUUCUUCUUCUCAAUGGGGUUUUGGUGUUUGUCUUGUACUUAUGUACUUGACCACCUUCCCAUUUGUUUGGAAUUUAUUUAAAGGUGUGUAUUUUUUUUAAUCAUGAAAUUUCUUAAUUGAAAUUUUUUGGUGAUGAAUUAUAAUUUUAAGCACCUUUAUCAUUUACUGUGAAAAAAUCAAAGCGUUCAAAGCAGGCUAUAUGCUCAUGAAUGUCUCAGCAUGGAAUAAUAAGAUAAGUUUAUGUUAUACUUGUUGGUUUGUACAAUGUAAAAAUGAUUAAAAGGGGCAGUUGGGGGAAUUCGUAUUUGGAUGUCAGAGGUGAAAUUCUUGGAUUUUCCAAAGACGAA